rnacentral:rRNA from 1 species
UGGGGAAUUUUGGACAAUGGGCGAAAGCCUGAUCCAGCAAUGCCGCGUGUGUGAAGAAGGCCUUCGGGUUGUAAAGCACUUUUGUCCGGAAAGAAAUCCUUGGCUCUAAUACAGUCGGGGGAUGACGGUACCGGAAGAAUAAGCACCGGCUAACUACGUGCCAGCAGCCGCGGUAAUACGUAGGGUGCAAGCGUUAAUCGGAAUUACUGGGCGUAAAGCGUGCGCAGGCGGUUUGCUAAGACCGAUGUGAAAUCCCCGGGCUCAACCUGGGGAACUGCAUUGGUGACUGGCAGGCUAGAGUAUGGCAGAGGGGGGUAGAAUUCCACGUGUAGCAGUGAAAUGCGUAGAGAUGUGGAGGAAUACCGAUGGCGAAGGCAGCCCCCUGGGCAAUACUGACGCUCAUGCACGAAAGCGUGGGGAGCAAACAGGAUUAGAUACCCUGGUAGUCCACGCCCUAAACGAUGUCAACUAGUUGUUGGGGGAUUCAUUUCCUUAGUAACGUAGCUAACGCGUGAAGUUGACCGCCUGGGGAGUACGGUCGCAAGAUUAAAACUCAAAGGAAUUGACGGGGGUCAUA